rnacentral:misc_RNA from 1 species
UCAAACUUGGUCAUUUAGAGGAAGUAAAAGUCGUAACAAGGUUUCCGUAGGUGAACCUGCGGAAGGAUCAUUAACGAGUUUGAAAGGGGUUGUAGCUGGCCUUCACAGGCAUGUGCACGCCCUGCUCAUCCACUCUACACCUGUGCACUAUCUGUGGGUUUCGAGCGUUGUGCGGGCCUUCACUGGCUCGUGCAGUAAUCGGGCCUACGUUUAUUACAAACUCUUCAGUAUCAGAAUGUGUAUCGCGAUGUAACGCAUCUAUAUACAACUUUCAGCAACGGAUCUCUUGGCUCUCGCAUCGAUGAAGAACGCAGC